UCCCUGGUAGCUCAGGUGGUAAAGAACCUGCCUGCAAUGCAGUAGACCUAGGUUCGAUCCCUGGGUUGGGAA
rfam:TPA: Bos taurus chromosome 2, whole genome shotgun sequence.